rnacentral:rRNA from 1 species
UACGUAGGGGGCAAGCGUUAUCCGGAUUUACUGGGUGUAAAGGGGGCGCAGACGGCGAUGCAAGCCAGGAGUGAAAGCCCGGGGCCUAACCCCGGGACUGCUCUUGGAACUGCGUGGCUGGAGUGCAGGAGGGGCAGGCGGAAUUCCUGGUGUAGCGGUGAAAUGCGUAGAUAUCAGGAGGAACACCGGUGGCGAAGGCGGCCUGCUGGACUGCAACUGACGUUGAGGCCCGAAAGCGUGGGGAGCAAACAGG